GUCAUCAGUGAAAUAGGUCUUUUGGAGAGCAUAGUGCUACAGUAAAACAGAAUGGUCAUCAGUGAAAUAGGUCUUUUGGAGAGCAUAGUGCUACAGUAAAACAGAAUGGGCAUCAGUGAAAUAGGUCUUUUGGAGAGCAUAGUGCUACAGUAAAACAGAAUGGUCAUCAGUGAAAUAGGUCUUUUGGAGAGCAUAGUGCUACAGUAAAACAGAAUGGUCAUCAGUGAAAUAGGUCUUUUGGAGAGCAUAGUGCUACAGUAAAACAGAAUGGUCAUCAGUGAAAUAGGUCUUUUGGAGAGCAUAGUGCUACAGUAAAACAGAAUGGUCACCAGUGAAAUAGGUCUUUUGGAGAGGAUAGUGCUACAGUAAAACAGAAUGGUCACCAGUGAAAUAGGUCUUUUGGAGAGCAUAGCGCUACAGUAAAACAGAAUGGUCACCAGUGAAAUAGGUCUUUUGGAGAGCAUAGUGCUACAGUAAAACAGAAUGGUCACCAGUGAAAUAGGUCUUUUGGAGAGCAUAGAGCUACAGUAAAACAGAAUGGUCACCAGUGAAAUAGGUCUUUUGGAGAGCAUAGAGCUACAGUAAAACAGAAUGGUCACCAGUGAAAUAGGUCUUUUGGAGAGCAUAGUGCUACAGUAAAACAGAAUGGUCACCAGUGAAAUAGGUCUUUUGGAGAGCAUAGUGCUACAGUAAAACAGAAUGGUCACCAGUGAAAUAGGUCUUUUGGAGAGCAUAGUGCUACAGUAAAACAGAAUGGUCAUCAGUGAAAUAGGUCUUUUGGAGAGCAUAGUGCUACAGUAAAACAGAAUGGUCACCAGUGAAAUAGGUCUUUUGGAGAGCAUAGUGCUACAGUAAAACAGAAUGGUCACCAGUGAAAUAGGUCUUUUGGAGAGCAUAGUGCUACAGUAAAACAGAAUGGUCAUCAGUGAAAUAGGUCAUUUGGAGAGCAUAGUGCUACAGUAAAACAGAAUGGUCAUCAGUGAAAUAGGUCUUUUGGAGAGCAUAGUGCUACAGUAAAACAGAAUGGUCAUCCGUGAAUUAGGUCUUUUGGAGAGCAUAGUGCUACAGUAAAACAGAAUGGUCACCAGUGAAAUAGGUCUUUUGGAGAGCAUAGUGCUACAGUAAAACAGAAUGGUCAUCAGUGAAAUAGGUCAUUUGGAGAGCAUAGUGCUACAGUAAAACAGAAUGGUCAUCAGUGAAAUAGGUCUUUUGGAGAGCAUAGUGCUACAGUAAAACAGAAUGGUCAUCCGUGAAUUAGGUCUUUUGGAGAGCAUAGUGCUACAGUAAAACAGAAUGGUCAUCAGUGAAAUAGAUCUUUUGGAGAGCAUAGUGCUACAGUAAAACAGAAUGGUCAUCAGUGAAAUAGGUCAUUUGGAGAGCAUAGUGCUACAGUAAAACAGAAUGGUCAUCAGUGAAAUAGGUCAUUUGGAGAGCAUAGUGCUACAGUAAAACAGAAUGGUCAUCAGUGAAAUAGGUCUUUUGGAGAGCAUAGUGCUACAGUAAAACAGAAUGGUCAUCAGUGAAAUAGGUCAUUUGGAGAGCAUAGUGCUACAGUAAAACAGAAUGGUCAUCAUUGAAAUAGGUACUUUGGAGUGUGGUGUAUGUUGAUUUUUUCAAAUCAGAUCCUUGUUAGGAGCUAACGAUUUUAGAUCAAGUAUCCCAAUACAAAGGAUUUGUGCAAUGUACUCAGAUCAACGUGUUGGUAAGCAUGUUUGUUGUGAAAAUGCUGGCCAAACAGUUAAAAGGAUUUCACUGCCUCCAACCUCGAUCACCAUACCACUGUCACCCCUUCACCAGCUGUUAUCACCCCCUGCUGACUGUUUCACUGGGCCAUACUUGAACAGGGAGAAUGAACCCAGAUGCUCUCCUCAUUUAGGAGGUGCAAACACCUGCAGAUCUAACGAGACGUUGAGGGUCCUGUACCAAGGGUAGUGCCACUUUGGGUGUUGGUGAAGGCCAAUUACAGG